ensembl:lncRNA
CAGACACGCAACAGAAAGCAGCUUGAGAUACAGUCUGGAAUUUCUCCAGAGAAUUUCACUGUGGAAGUCAGUCCAGGCAUUCAGUGGAAUAAGUGAUAUAGCAGAGAGAACACUGGAUCUGCACUGAGACUCAAGGAACUGUGAACCAUCAGUACCAUGUAAACAGUCAAGUUGUUUCUGCAACCAUACAGCAAAAUGGGAAGAACCAAAAUUUGCAAUUAGUUAUAGCCUGCACUCAUAGCUUAUUCACGUCAGAGAUACCAGAAUUUCAG